rnacentral:rRNA from 1 species
AUUGAACGCUGGCGGCAGGCUUAACACAUGCAAGUCGAGCGGAGAUGAGGUGCUUGCACCUUAUCUUAGCGGCGGACGGGUGAGUAAUGCUUAGGAAUCUGCCUAUUAGUGAGGGACAACAUUCCGAAAGGAAUGCUAAUACCGCAUACGCCCUACGGGGGAAAGCAGGGGAUCUUCGGACCUUGCGCUAAUAGAUGAGCCUAAGUCGGAUUAGCGAGUUGGUGGGGUAAAGGCCUACCAAGGCGACGAUCUGUAGCGGGUCUGAGAGGAUGAUCCGCCACACUGGGACUGAGACACGGCCCAGACUCCUACGGGAGGCAGCAGUGGGGAAUAUUGGACAAUGGGCGGAAGCCUGAUCCAGCCAUGCCGCGUGUGUGAAGAAGGCCUUUUGGUUGUAAAGCACUUUAAGCGAGGAGGAGGCUACCUGGAUUAAUACUCUAGGAUAGUGGACGUUACUCGCAGAAUAAGCACCGGCUAACUCUGUGCCAGCCGCCGCUGUAAGAC